GAUGAACGCUGGCGGCGUGCCUAAUACAUGCAAGUCGAGCGAACAGACGAGGAGCUUGCUCCUCUGACGUUAGCGGCGGACGGGUGAGUAACACGUGGAUAACCUACAUAUAAGACUGGGAUAACUUCGGGAAACCGGAGCUAAUACCGGAUAAUAUAUUGAACCGCAUGGUUCAAUAGUGAAAGACGGUUUUGCUGUCACUUAUAGAUGGAUCCGCGCCGCAUUAGCUAGUUGGUAAGGUAACGGCUUACCAAGGCGACGAUGCGUAGCCGACCUGAGAGGGUGAUCGGCCACACUGGAACUGAGACACGGUCCAGACUCCUACGGGAGGCAGCAGUAGGGAAUCUUCCGCAAUGGGCGAAAGCCUGACGGAGCAACGCCGCGUGAGUGAUGAAGGUCUUCGGAUCGUAAAACUCUGUUAUUAGGGAAGAACAAAUGUGUAAGUAACUAUGCACGUCUUGACGGUACCUAAUCAGAAAGCCACGGCUAACUACGUG
rnacentral:rRNA from 1 species